GACGAACGCUGGCGGCGUGCUUAACACAUGCAAGUCGAGCGGAAAGGCCCACUUGUGGGUACUCGAGCGGCGAACGGGUGAGUAUCACGUGAGUAAUCUGCCCUUCACUUCGGGAUAGCCUUGGGAAACUGAGAUUAAUACCGGAUAUGAUUUCUGCCUGCAUGGGUGGGGUUGAAAGUUUUUCGGUUGGAGGAUGUGCUCGCGGCCUAUCAGCUUGAUGGUGGGGUAAGUGGCCUACCAUGGCUUUGACGGGUAGCCGGCCUGAGAGGGUGUCCGGCCACACUGGGACUGAGAUACGGCCCAGACUCCUACGGGAGGCAGCAGUGGGGAAGUAUUGCACAAUGGGCGCAAGCCUGAUGCAGCGACGCCGCGUGGGGGAUGACGGCCUCGGUU
rnacentral:rRNA from 1 species